AGGCCAAUUUCCAGGUUGUUCUUCCCUCCCCGACAGCAUCGAUUGUGGUAGGGUCCUCGGCCGAUUCUCCCCACCUUUAGGGCGGCGCCGGAUGGAUCUGUCGACCACUAUUAUCGGAGAAGGAGGAGGGACCUGAAAAACUGAGGGUGAGGCUGGAGCUUGGGAUCUGGCCGCGGAGGCCAUGGAUCACCUGGUGGAUGCUCUGCGGGGAGGCAUC
rnacentral:lncRNA from 1 species